rnacentral:lncRNA from 1 species
UCUCCAACUCUUGGAGUGGUCAAUCCCAUCUCGAUCAUACUCUGACUUCGCAAGUACUUGACUGUGCCCAGAAGCCUUCCGUCCCUGAAUUAGAAAUUCAGUUAGUCCAGUACCAAAGCACAGUGAGUUGCUUGCAAGUCACUGAGGCGAUCUCAAGUCUAAGAGACACUUAUACCUAUAUCCCAUCAGAGACAUUCUCGACAGCAGAAUACUUUGGAGUUGGUCACGUUC